rnacentral:rRNA from 1 species
UACGGAAGGUGCAAGCGUUAAUCGGAAUUACUGGGCGUAAAGCGCGCGUAGGCGGCUUCGUAAGUCGGGUGUGAAAGCCCCGGGCUCAACCCGGGAACUGCGUCCGAUACUGGUGGGCUCGAAUCCGGGAGAGGGAUGCGGAAUUCCAGGUGUAGCGGUGAAAUGCGUAGAUAUCUGGAGGAACACCGGUGGCGAAGGCGGCAUCCUGGACCGGCAUUGACGCUGAGGCGCGAAAGCCAGGGGAGCAAACGGG